rnacentral:rRNA from 1 species
UACGAGGGGGGCGAGCGUUGUUCGGAAUUAUUGGGCGUAAAGGGUGCGUAGGCGGUUUGGUAAGUCUUAUGUGAAAUCUACAGGCUCAACUUGUAGUCUGCAUGAGAAACUGCCGGGCUUGAGUGUGGGAGAGGUGAGUGGAACUGCGAGUGUAGAGGUGAAAUUCGUAGAUAUUCGCAAGAACACCAGUGGCGAAGGCGGCUCACUGGCCCGGUACUGACGCUGAGGUGCGAAAGCGUGGGGAGCAAACAGG